rnacentral:tRNA from 3 species
UGGGGCGUAGCCAAGUGGUAAGGCAGCGGAUUUUGAUUCCGCCAUUCGGAGGUUCGAAUCCUCCCGCCCCAGCCA